CUCCUCCUGCGGUGUUCGAUGCGAAUCUGGAAUCCCUCGACCCUAAAUUUUAGAUCGGGGUCGUCACCUGCAAGGCAGCUGUGUGCAUAACCGCCUUGGCGGUAAGCCUGGGCUGCCACGGUUGACCCCACUUUCCGCUCUGGUUCGAGAGCAACGAUUCGUAACGGCACAGGUGGGAGGAGU
rnacentral:other from 1 species